rnacentral:rRNA from 1 species
UGCAAGUCGAGGGGCAUCAGGAAGAAAGCUUGCUUUCUUUGCUGGCGACCGGCGCACGGGUGAGUAACACGUAUCCAACCUGCCCUUUACUCGGGGAUAGCCUUUCGAAAGAAAGAUUAAUACCCGAUAGCAUAAUGAUUCCGCAUGGUUUCACUAUUAAAGAAUUUCGGUUAUCGAUGGGGAUGCGUUCCAUUAGAUAGUUGGCGGGGUAACGGCCCACCUAGUCUUCGAUGGAUAGGGGUUCUGAGAGGAAGGUCCCCACAUUGGAACUGAGACACGGUCCAAACUCC